rfam:Salmo salar isolate Sally breed double haploid chromosome ssa14, whole genome shotgun sequence.
UGCAUUCACUACUGUAAAUCGCUCUGGAUAAGAGCAUCUGCUAAAUGUCUAAAA